rnacentral:rRNA from 1 species
GAUGAACGCUGGCGGCGUGCCUAAUACAUGCAAGUCGAGCGAACAGACGAGGAGCUUGCUCCUCUGACGUUAGCGGUGGACGGGUGAGUAACACGUGGAUAACCUACCUAUAAGACUGGGAUAACUUCGGGAAACCGGAGCUAAUACCGUAUAAUAUAUUGAACCGCAUGGUUCAAUAGUGAAAGACGGUUUUGCUGUCACUUAUAGAUGGAUCCGCGCCGCAUUAGCUAGUUGGUAAGGUAACGGCUUACCAAGGCGACGAUGCGUAGCCGACCUGAGAGGGGGAUAGGCCACACUGGAACUGAGACACGGUCCAGACUCCUACGGGAGGCAGCAGUAGGGAAUCUUCCGCAAUGGGCGAGAGCCUGACGGAGCAACGCCGCGUGAGUGAUGAAGGUCUUCGGAUCGUAAAACUCUGUUAUUAGGGAAGAACAAAUGUGUAAGUAACUAUGCACGUCUUGACGGUACCUAAUCAGAAAGCCACGGCUAACUACGUG